rnacentral:rRNA from 1 species
CCUACGGGAGGCAGCAGUGGGGAAUAUUGCGCAAUGGGGGCAACCCUGACGCAGCAAUACCGCGUGAGUGAAGAAGGUUUUCGGAUCGUAAAGCUCUGUUAUUGGGGAAGAAGCAGUGACGGUACCCAAUGAGGAAGUCCCGGCUAACUACGUGCCAGCAGCCGCGGUAAUACGUAGGGGACGAGCGUUGUCCGGAAUCACUGGGCGUAAAGGGCGCGUAGGCGGUUUUAUAAGUCAGAUGUGAAAGGUACCGGCUCAACCGGUGACGUGCAUUUGAAACUGUAAGACUUGAGUACUGAAGAGGCAAGCGGAAUUCCUAGUGUAGCGGUGAAAUGCGUAGAUAUUAGGAAGAACACCGGUGGCGAAGGCGGCUUGCUGGGCAGAUACUGACGCUGAGGUGCGAAAGCGUGGGGAGCGAACAGGAUUAGAUACCCUGGUAGUC